CUUGUAUGGGAGGGGCACAUGUUUGUCAUCUCUGCUGCUAGGGGAGACUGAGGCUAGAGGGUCACUUGAGUUUGGGAGUUCAGCCAGAGCUGAUCAGGUGCUUGUAUUAAGUCUGGCAUCAAUAUGGUGACUUCUGGAAACAGAGGGCCAGCAGGCUGCCUAAGAAGGGACAAGCCCACCCAGGCAAGAGAUGGAGCAGGUUGAAGCUACAGGCUAAUCAAUAAUGGGGUUGGGCCUGUGAGAGGUCCUUCUAAUUUCUGCCUGCAUAAGAUAAGGAGACCUAGUCUCA
rnacentral:sRNA from 1 species